rnacentral:tRNA from 1 species
GGUGGCCCUGGUGGGGCGCAAGCGCCGUCGGCGGGUGCGGAUGGUGCCGGUGCGGGGCCGGCGGCUUCCCC